rnacentral:rRNA from 1 species
UGGGGAAUAUUGGUCAAUGGAUGGAAGUCUGAACCAGCCAUGCCGCGUGCAGGAAGAAGGCGUUAUGCGUUGUAAACUGCUUUUUGCCAGGGGAUAAAAAAUCUGUGCGCAGAUAAUUGAAGGUACCUGGUGAAUAAGCCACGGCUAACUACGUGCCAGCAGCCGCGGUAAUACGUAGGUGGCAAGCGUUGUCCGGAUUUAUUGGGUUUAAAGGGUGCGUAGGUGGCCCUGUAAGUCAGUGGUGAAAUAUCUCAGCUUAACUGAGAGGGUGCCAUUGAUACUGCAGGGCUUGAGUACAGAUGAGGUAGGCGGAAUUGACGGUGUAGCGGUGAAAUGCAUAGAUAUCGUCAAGAACACCUAUAGCGAAGGCAGCUUACUAGGCUGUAACUGACGCUGAGGCACGAAAGUGUGGGGAUCAAACAGGAUUAGAUACCCCAGUAGUCCCUGAGCGGGCUGGCAAGGCGCAU